rnacentral:rRNA from 1 species
UACGUAGGGUGCGAGCGUUAAUCGGAAUUACUGGGCGUAAAGUGUGCGCAGGCGGCCGCGCAAGUCGAGUGUGGAAGCCCCGGGCUUAACUUGGGAAUUGCGCUCGAAACUACGUGGCUGGAGUAUGGCAGAGGAAGGUGGAAUUCCACGUGUAGCGGUGAAAUGCGUAGAGAUGUGGAGGAACACCGAUGGCGAAGGCAGCCUUCUGGGCCAAUACUGACGCUCAUGCACGAAAGCGUGGGGAGCAAACAGG